GUGCUCGCUCUGGCAGCACAUAUUCUAAAACUAGAACAACAGAGAAAAGAUUAGCAUGGCCCCUACGCCAGGAUGACAUGCAAAUCGGUACAGCGUUCCAUAGUUUA
ensembl:snRNA U6 U6 spliceosomal RNA